GUUCACUCUGUUAGCCUCACUUGCUCCCUCCCCAUCCCUCUGUUUCCUUUCUGUUAUAACACUUCUCUAUUCUGCUGGCAUCACAGUCAUCUCCACCUGCCUUCCUCACAAGUUAAAAGCUUGUUAAGGGCAAGUGGUGUUCUUUGCCACCUCAUUCCCCAGGGCUUCUAACACAGUGCCUCAUGCAUGACAGAGUUGUAAAACAGGUUACCAAGCUGGCUUCAGGCAGGUUUGCAUGGAACUGUGCUCUACAGGAAUACCUGCUCCCCCCAGGCCCUGGGUCUUCCUCCUGAGUCCAGGCUCAGACUCUCUCAUCCUGCUCGUUCUCUCUUGGGGAGCCACAGUAACUUUGAGCAACUUUGCAUGGGAUAGAAUGGCCUAUUAGGGGCAGCACAAAGACCCCAUGGAGGGAAGAGUACAGAAAGGGAAAACGAUAAUCAUAUUUUUUUAAGAUGUGCAUUUUCUUAACAAAAUGCUCUAGUACUUGUCCAGACUUUCAAACUCAAAAACCUAAGCGUCCUUUUCUUGAAGAUCAUCAAAGGCCCCAGUGGUCCUUCAGGUAUGUCAAGCUUUCUAGAAAAUAAAGCUAAGUCAUAAUCACUUAACACACAUGGCUAAAUGGCCAUUUCCUUCUAAUUUAUCAGCAACUGUUACAUAUUUCUAUACUAGAAAAAAUUUAUAUUUAUACUCAGGGUGGUAAGUUAAAUUUGCCAUCGAAGUAAAGCAGAAAGAGCGUAGCAUGUAUGUAUAUGUAACUCAACUGUGCAUGAGACAAAGAUCUAUUGAGGAGAAUGUGUCUAGCAUGGGUCCUGAGCAACCAAACACAAUCUAUCAAGAGCAUAGAGGUGCCAUGAAGCAAAACAUGGUCAUGUUCAGGGUAGUCAUGAAAUACUGAAUGAACAGGGCUGGAAGAACCCCAGUAGUUAGCCAGUCCAAUCUCCUCCUUUCAUAGAUAAGGAAAGCCCAGAGACAUGUGGGAAUUGCCGGAGGUCACGUAGCUCAUUAGGAUCAGAGCCAGGAUGA
rnacentral:lncRNA from 1 species